UACGUAGGGCGCAAGCGUUAUCCGGAAUUAUUGGGCGUAAAGAGCUCGUAGGCGGUUUGUCGCGUCUGCCGUGAAAGUCCGGGGCUCAACUCCGGAUCUGCGGUGGGUACGGGCAGACUGGAGUGUGGUAGGGGAGACUGGAAUUCCUGGUGUAGCGGUGGAAUGCGCAGAUAUCAGGAGGAACACCGAUGGCGAAGGCAGGUCUCUGGGCCACUACUGACGCUGAGAAGCGAAAGCAUGGGGAGCGAACAGG
rnacentral:rRNA from 1 species